GACACCUAUGGAAACGUCAUCUACCACCUAAACUAUCUGUUUUUUCAUGGAAGUUCCUUAAAGAGAAGCUACCAACAAAUUACCAAAUUCAUAGAAGAUUGCCUGCUCUUCCAUCUGAGUGCCCAUUCUGCAGUUGCUUAGAAACAGCCUCUCGCCUCUUCUUCAAAUGCCCCAGGUCAGUUCAAAUUUGGUUCACUUCUCCAUUGAUGCUUCGUUCUGCUUCCCUUCAUAGAGAUACAAUAGUGUAUAUUUGGUUGGAGAUUGUUUCUCGUUGUAGGCGUUAACUGGGGUGAAUAACAGGGUCAUUACGACAUUAUUUGAUCAGCAUCAUGAUUUCUUUUCCUUAGGAGAUCCAACUCCCACACCACAAAUGGCCCCCCAUCAACUCCAGAAUGAUUGGUCUCUACAGCCUCAAGGAACCUUUAAGGUCAAUUUUGAUGGUGCUUUAGACACUUCCCAUAAUUUUGGUUCCACUGCUGCUAUAGCAAGAGAUUCUUCGGGUUUGCCAUGUGGUUGUAAUGCAAGCGUAUUGAAGGAAUAAUUAAUCCUUUGAUCUUAGAUGCCCUUACUUGUAGGGAGGUGAUCCUUCUUGUGAAACAAAGAGGUUUUCAGGAUAUCAUUCUUGAGGGGGACUUGUUAUUGGUAAUCCAAGGGCUACAAGGGAGGACUAUUCACAGUUCAAUCAAUGUCAUUAUAGCAGAUGUAUUACAAUUAUCUAGAGAUUUCCAGUCUUGUUUGUUUGCUCAUGUCAACAGGAGCAGGAACAAGGCAGCACACCUUAUUGCUAGGAGGUGUCUGCGUGAUGGUUCUUUUUCUUGCAAUCCUUUGACUCAAACUAAUUUUGCAAUCUCUUGCUUGGCAUCUUAAAAAAAAAAUCAUUAAAAUUGAA